UACGUAGGCAGCAAGCGUUGUUCGGAAUUACUGGGCGUAAAGAGUGUGUAGGCGGUGCUCUAAGUUCGGUGUGAAAUCUCCCGGCUUAACUGGGAGGGUGCGCCGGAAACUGGAGUGCUUGAGCGCGGGAGAGGAAAGCGGAAUUCCGGGUGUAGUGGUGAAAUGCGUAGAGAUCCGGAGGAACACCAGUGGCGAAGGCGACACGCUGGGCCGUACCUGACACUGAUGCGCGACAGCAUGGGGAGCAAACAGG
rnacentral:rRNA from 1 species